UUUGGAAAUGGGGGCACCCUGAUCCAGCAAUGCCGCGUGAGUGAAGAAGGCCUUCGGGUUGUAAAGCUCUUUUGUCAGGGAAGAAACGGUGGCCUCUAAUAUAGGUUGCUAAUGACGGUACCUGAAGAAUAAGCACCGGCUAACUACGUGCCAGCAGCCGCGGUAAUACGUAGGGUGCAAGCGUUAAUCGGAAUUACUGGGCGUAAAGCGUGCGCAGGCGGUUAUGUAAGUCAGAUGUGAAAUCCCCGGGCUUAACCUGGGAAUGGCAUUUGAGACUGCAUGGCUAGAGUGUGUCAGAGGGGGGUAGAAUUCCACGUGUAGCAGUGAAAUGCGUAGAGAUGUGGAGGAAUACCGAUGGCGAAGGCAGCCCCCUGGGAUAACACUGACGCUCAUGCACGAAAGCGUGGGGAGCAAACAGGAUUAGAUACCCUGGUAGUCCACGCCCUAAACGAUGUCUACUAGUUGUCGGGUCUUAAUUGACUUGGUAACGCAGCUAACGCGUGAAGUAGACCGCCUGGGGAGUACGGUCGCAAGAUUAAAACUCAAAGAAAUUGACGGA
rnacentral:rRNA from 1 species